rnacentral:rRNA from 1 species
UUACCUACGGGAGGCAGCAGUGGGGAAUAUUGGGCAAUGGGCGCAAGCCUGACCCAGCAACGCCGCGUGAAGGGAGAAGGCUUUCGGGUUGUAAACUUCUUUUCUCAGGGACGAAGAAAGUGACGGUACUUGAGGAAUAAGCCACGGCUAACUACGUGCCAGCAGCCGCGGUAAUACGUAGGUGGCAAGCGUUAUCCGGAUUUACUGGGUGUAAAGGGCGUGUAGGCGGGAGUGCAAGUCAGAUGUGAAAACCACGGGCUCAACCUGUGGCCUGCAUUUGACACUGUACUUCUAGAGUACUGGAG